GCUGAUAACCGGACCAACAAGGCUGGGGCCAGCACCUGUGCCUAACCAUGACAGCCAAGUUGGAAGCCCCUCUGCACUGAUAACCGGACCAACAAGGCCAGCACCUGUGCCUAACCGUGACAGCCAAGUUGGAAGCCCCUCUGCACUGACAACCGGACCAACAAGGCAAGCACCUGUUCCUAACCAUGACAGCCAAGUUGGAAGCCCCUCUGCAGCUCACUGCUGCAGGUGCUCUGCUCCUCGUGCAACUGUUGGCACACAAACAGAGGCGACAGAUGCAGACACUGCAGAUUCUGUCAUACCCGUGUCUGCACAGGUCAACCCUGGGUGCAAUGCGGCUGCCCCCCCACCACAACCAGGCAGGAAGUCCUCAGGAGCACUUCCGAGUCCAGUGCAACCUG